AGGGGCGGGGCUGAGCCUCCCUCUUGCGAGCCCAAUCACGAGGCACGUUCCGCCAGUUCCCAGUCAGCGUCAGGACCCAAUCAACGUCUAGAGCGGAAGUCCGACCUAUCCCGAAUCCCUGCUGCUAGCCUAGAGCGUCUGAGCUGCUGGUUGGCUCUCGGUACGAUGGGGCCUGCUGGUCCUGCGGCGAGCUUCCAGCCGGCUUUCCCGGGAUGUCGGUGGCCUUUGUACCGGACUGGCUGAGAGGCAAGGCGGAAGUCAAUCAGGAGACGAUCCAGCGGGUGAACGCUAACGCAGGCCAAGAGAAGGGGUUCCUCCGUCGAGAUCCGCAAGACGGGCUGCGGGUGCGAAAAGCUUCCUGGAAUCGCAUCCCGGCUGAGACUUGACGUGUGCAUGGGGGGUUGACCUGCAGGCGUAUGGGGUGAGAAGGGAACCAGCUCCUGGAGGAGAAUAACCAACUGAUCCGCUGUAUCCUGGAGUAUCAAAGACCGGGCGAAUGAGUGCGUCCAGUAAGUGCCCUGCCCCAUCCUCUGACGUUUGCGUGGAGGGGGAGCCGGUGCGCUGAUACAGCUGCUGUCCUGAACUAGGUGUCUUGGAUGAUUGGUCGCAGAUGGGCUCAGAGAGAGGUUCCUUACUGACCAGGACCCUAUGGACAGUACAUUGUGAAAUCUGGAGUCAGACGUGGCACCUUCUUCAAUAUUUGAAUUAUGCUCAAUGCAAAACCUUCCUUACAUGAAGCCAUGUCAGCUGAUAACAGCAGAGAUUGUGGGGAGAGCACGAGCGGUGGCCGCUUUCUCAUCAUGGAUACCUAGCUUAUCCUUUUUUUUAAGUGAGGGAGUAAGACCAUUUUUGACUACUAAGUUUCCUCCUACUUCUAACUUGCAGUCAGUCUGUAACACACACAAAAACCAGUAAGAGAUUUCCAAGGUACCAGCAUUGUGUUACAUACAAAUCCCAUUUAUUUGGCUACCAUCACAGAUGCCAACCCAACCAGUGCUUCAAAGGCAAUGGAAUAAUCUUCCAGUUGGCUAUUGGGAGGAAUACUUGAAUGUAAUCCAUUUCCUAUGAAAUGAAGACAGGAUCUUUACCAACUCAGUGGCUUAAAACAUGAAUGAAAACCCCCGUGGCUCUUUUAAGAAUGUGAAAAUGUGAGGAACGCUACUAAAUUAACUAUACUCUCAGUGUAUUUAUUUAUUUUAAUAAUUAAGCAAAUUCCUUCAAUUAUGUUGACUUCAGGUGUCCUCUUCCCUGAAGUAGGCAUGUUUGGAUAACAAGGGUAACAUGGGCAUCUUCAGGUUUGUCUUUUUAGUUUCAACCUGAAGAGGAAAUCAAGCAAGUCUUGGGCAACAACAGGAAUUGGUGAGACUGCCAACUGGACCCUGCCAAUGGACAUGCAGCUCUGUGUACCCUCCUGCCAGGUGGUACUUCCAGACCUCCUGCCUGCUCUUUUCACGUUACUUUGAAAUAAAGCUUGCCUCUCCAUGAAAGGCUGAUAUUGAGGUAUAGACAUUGUCAUGUAAUAAGUGUUCCACUUGGUUUUCCAGAAAAACUCUUAAGGACUUAAAAAUAUAUGUCACAACACCAUUAUCAUUGCUAACAAAAUUAACAGUAAUUCUUACUAACAGAUGAUGUUUUAGGAGAGAAAAAAUCUUUUUCCUUUUCUCCUUCUAAGGUUUUCAGCUGGGGCUUUAUAACAAAAGGUAGGUUAAAAGGAAAUAAUACAGAUUUAAUACAUGUUUUGAUAGGACAUGGGGGCCUCCAGAAGGAAUUGAAGACCCAAAGAAACAGUUAAAACUGAGUGUUUUUAUACGAGGUGUAACAAAGAGUGAAAAGUCUUUGGAAAUUGUGACAGGACAGAAUGGUAUGAGCUAAGUGUAGUAAACUGGGAGAAACUUAGCCAGGCCUUUGUUCAAAUUCUCAGUGUCCCUCCAUCUUU